rnacentral:lncRNA from 1 species
UCUCAGCGUUUGCUGGAGCGGCUCUAGCUCUUCCAUGAGGGGCAGAUUGAGCUUGAACGUGGACAUGAUGCCCUGUCCUGUUUGGCUUUCCGAUGGGCUGUGGAUCAAGCAGUAACAGGCCGCGUAAAGUAUCCCAGCAGCCUUUUUUUUUCGUUUUCUGAGUAGGCUAUCAGAAGUAGGCUUUUUUUUUGGGUCUGUCUUAGUGGUCAGGCGCCUGUUUUUUUAUUCAAAAACAGUCGCCUGAAAAUUUGAUAGAAAACAGGGGCCUGUUAUUUUGCUAAGAAGCAGGCGCCUGCUUUCAGAUGAAAAACCAGACAUGUUUCAUAUGAGCCAUAAAACAGAUAGAGAUAAGAUGCAUGCAGUGC